CUUUGGGCUUCUAAACGGCUGGGUGUUCCUUUCACAUGGCUGUUGAUCAUGACUGGAAUUGUUCGGCAUUAUUAGGCUAAAGCAACAACAUCUGAUUCAUAUUUAUUUUAUUGAGGAUACAUGCGGACGCUGCUUGCCCAACCCUGCUAACGCCUCGUACUGACAAACUUUAACCGAGCAGAUCAGGAAACAUGCACAAAUCCGCCGCCCGUUACUUAAUAUUUUUCCAAUAUACAGGGACCAAAUACAGCGGCGUGAUGAAAACAGCAGCAGAUCAAGCUGUGGAGGGGGUCGAGAAUCAUCUGGAGAGUGCUGUGCGGAAACUGAAGCCGGUUAAUGAGGUGUCAGUGGUGAUCUCCAGCAGAACAGACACUGGUGUGCAUGCCUUGUGUAACUCUGCACAUGUGGAUAUCCAGCGGAGAGGAGACAAGCCACCACUGCUGGAGCAAGACCUGGUUGAUGCCCUAAACUUCCACCUGAAAGCAGAACCUAUAAGAAUCACCAGGGCUUACCGUGUCCACAGCGACUUCCACGCACGCUAUCGGGCCGUAUCACGCACAUAUGUUUACCGCUUUGCUUCGGGUCUCAGACAUCACACAGAAAUGCCAGUAACGGAGAGGGAUCUGUGCUGGGCAUUACGAGACACGAGGCUAAAUAUCGAUGCAGUUCAAGAGGCGGCUGCACUGCUGUUAGGGACCCAUGACUUCAGCACCUUCCGUGCCUUGAGCUCAGACACGCCCUUUAAGAACCCAGUGAAGACCCUCGAGAAGGCCCAGCUGGACCCCGGCGUCUCGUUCAGUCAGAGACACUUUCAUAGAGAUAUUCAGUUCUGGGAGCUCACUUUUAAAAGUGCGGAGGAUGACUGGGGCGCUGGUUGCCGUCGGUCAGGGUAGACUGUCUGUUCGACAGAUCCAGGAGCUGCUAGAAGCACGAGAUUCACUGGCAUUCCCACAAAACCUGACGGCUCCAGCCCACGGCCUGUUUCUGACCAACAUACAGUACAGAGAGACAGAUCUUGGGGCUUGUAGGCUGGCUGAACAGUAAAAUAAUGAUUCAAAUAGAGAUCUCACAAUAUCGGAUGUAAAAAUUUAAAUAUUUUUAUUAAAGUCUAUCCCUUUUCUCAAACACUUGCCUGUGUCAAACCAUACUUAUGUAGGAAUAUGCAAGUAUUAUAUAUACUUAAAGUGG